UACGGGGGGAGCAAGCGUUGUUCGGAUUUACUGGGCGUAAAGGGCGCGUAGGCGGCACCGCAAGUCGACUGUGAAAUCUCCGGGCUUAACCCGGAAAGGUCAGCCGAUACUGCGGGGCUAGAGUGCAGAAGGGGCAACUGGAAUUCUCGGUGUAGCGGUGAAAUGCGUAGAUAUCGGAAGGAACACCAGUGGCGAAGGCGACUUCCUGGUCUGUUACUGACACUGAGGCGCGAAAGCGUGGGGAGCAAACAGG
rnacentral:rRNA from 1 species